rnacentral:lncRNA from 1 species
GCAUGGGAGAGAAGAGUCACCACAUACAGAACUCCAUCCCUUCUUUUUUUUUUUUUUUUAUGUGCGCAUCUCUUGUGAUAGAGAAUGACAUGGGAGAGAAGAAUCAGAGCAGAGCCGACCUGCUUAGCCAUUGGAAGCAUGACCCAUCCAAUCCAAAUGGCUACAUGUUGGAUGCAUGCCAUAAACUACCACUCCAUCUAC